UACAGAGGUCUCAAGCGUUGUUCGGAUUCAUUGGGCGUAAAGGGUGCGUAGGUGGCGCCGUAAGUCAGGUGUGAAAUUUCAGAGCUUAACUCCGAAACUGCAUUUGAUACUGCGGUGCUUGAGGACUGGAGAGGAGACUGGAAUUCAUGGUGUAGCAGUGAAAUGCGUAGAGAUCAUGAGGAAGACCAGUGGCGAAGGCGGGUCUCUGGACAGUUCCUGACACUGAGGCACGAAGGCCGGGGAGCAAACGGG
rnacentral:rRNA from 1 species